AUUGAACGCUGGCGGCAGGCCUAACACAUGCAAGUCGAACGAGUGGCGGACGGGUGAGUAAUGUCUGGGAAACUGCCUGAUGGAGGGGGAUAACUACUGGAAACGGUAGCUAAUACCGCAUACCAUCGGAUGUGCCCAGAUGGGAUUAGCUAGUAGGUGGGGUAAAGGCUCACCUAGGCGACGAUCCCUAGCUGGUCUGAGAGGAUGACCGGCCACACUGGAACUGAGAUACGGUCCAGACUCCGUCGGUAGGCAGCAGUGGGGAAUAUUGCACAAUGGGCGCAAGCCUGAUGCAGCCAUGCCGCGUGUAUGAAGAAGGCCUUAGGGUUGUAAAGUACUUUCAGCGGGGAGGCGUUACCCGCAGAAGAAGCACCGGCUAACUCCGUGCCAGCAGCCGCGGUAAUAC
rnacentral:rRNA from 1 species